AUUAGUGAUGUCUGAGAUUUUCAAGCCCAAUGGAAAUCAUGAAAAAUCAAUGAAGGAGUGAAUGGGAAUUUAAAAGAAGGUGAUGCUCUUCUAAGUAAAGAUGGGGAUUCUUCUUUCAUUGCUUUGAAAAACAGUAGAGCAUGGAGUUCUCAGUUCUCUGUGUCAUUCUUAUUGAAGGUGAGUUUUCUUUCUUACCUUUAUUUCUUUCUCAGGUUUUCUUAGAGAAAGUCAAUUCCAUUUACCUUUUUAUGUGUUUUUAAUGUUAGAUGAUGAGUUUAUAGGUUUGAAUUCUUACCUGGGUUUAUGUUGAAAUUUCACAUUGUUAACUUGGUGCCUGUUUGGUUGCCUCCUCUUAGAAAUGUGCUCAUCUCAUUUUAGUUGUUGUCAAUUGCUUAUGAGAGAUCAUAGUUUGUAUAAAUUGUUGGUUAUAUUUUUAAACCCUACAAAAAAAUUGGUCUCUAAUACUUAGAAAUGAAACGAACUCAUUUUUAAGUGGUACCAUUAGUUCCUUUUUGAAUUUGUUUUUGUUUGAAUGCAUGUUUUUGGGUCUUUAUGGAUUAUGGUGACCAUUUUUGGAUUAUAGGUAUGAGAGCAUUACAUAGGCAUGUCAAAAUAUUGUAUUGUUUGGAUUAUUUAUUUAUUUUUUUUUGUUUUUUGUUUUUUUCCCUACUACUUUAGAGAAUGCUUUGGGUCGUAAUUUGAUUCUAGCAAUUCUACAGGAGGGUGACCUUCUCAUCACCUCCCCUAUGGAACUAAUUAAGAUGAAAAAAGAUGAAAAAAGUAUAAAGUGAAAUUUUCUAGGGAAAAAGCCCAAGUCUCCUCAGCUUUGCACAUCAAGCACCUAUUCGGAGGUAUAAAAUUCCACUUCUUAAGAUUAUGUACUGUUAGAAUCUUUUUUUUUUUCUUUUUUUUUUUUUACCAGAAUUGAUAAUUUUAUUGCACGAACUGAAAGGCUCGAAGGAGAAAAUAGAAAGCUACAAAAGAAACAUAAGGAAAAACAAAAAAUACAACAUGCCCCCACAAGCAUCUAUUCAUAGUACUUGUCUUUUAUUUCUGUUGUAGUUCUUUUGUUUAUUUCUGCACAAGUAUUUAUUUGUGCUUAUCAUGAUCAUCUGAGUUCUAUUAGAUGGAGCAACAAUAAGCGCAAGUUUGUACUAAUUUUCAUGAGUAGUUCCUUUAAAAAAAAGGUGUAGAGAGUGGAAGUACAAAGAGUAUGGCUAAUGCUGCAGAGUGUGUCAAAAGGGCAACCGGUGACAUGUUGAUUGGUCUGAACUGGGGAGUCAAUAUUGAGAUUUAUGACAUUAUUAAUAUGGAUCCAGGGAAAUGGUUUGUUUAUGUUUAAAGUGGCUAGGAGAUGUAUUGGUGUGAAUUUUCUUGGGCUGGAAAUAAAUAAGAAAGUAAAUAUUUCUUUAUUUCUUUUUAAUUUGUGAAAGCAACUUCCAUGCUUCAAAAAAUUUUGAUCUGGUGCAGCUUGUGAAACGACGUCUAGAUUUUCAUUGAGUUUUGGAAGUUAAUUUGAUAAGCACUGUCUGGGUUACUUCUCUGUAGGGAUGCAAUAUCUACGACGGUUGCUGUCAGCUAGAUAUUCAGUUCUCCAACCUCAGUGAGUUGCAGGUGAACUAUAAUAAUGAGCGAUCUAGGUGCGCUGGUAGCUUCUCAUACAUUUAGCUUUCUGUGGCUUGAAAAUUUUAUACUUAAGGGGCCUUAUCGAUUGUCAGCUUAAUGCUACUGCUGUUGAGACUCACUUUUUGUUUGUAGGGAUUUCACAAAUCCGUCAUUGCCAUCUGAUUAGACAAGUAGAUCCUCUCUGGUAAGAGCCUACCCUUUACUUCCAACUCCAAUGUAUCUGUUUAGUGACUCGUCUCUUCAGUGACUUAGUCUUUGGUUUUAGCAUAAUGGGUUUAUGGUUUUGCACAUCCAAGGCUAGCUGUACCAUCAUUAUAUGCAACUUUGUUAAAAGAAAUGGCAUUAUUAUUAUUUCAACCUUCAUAAAAGACAAAAAAAGAAAUAAGAAAUACCAUCAUUAGAUUUGAUACUGAAAUGCUUGAUGUGCAUUCUGUUACUGUUUUUGCAACAGCCUGGCUAUGGUGAUGUUGGGGGUCU